rnacentral:tRNA from 1 species
AAAUCAAUUAUCAGUAUUUUGAAAGUAUUGGCUAGGUUAAACAUUAUCCUUUGAUUUU